UAUCCGGAGUGACUGGGCGUAAAGAGUUGCGUAGGCGGUUUGUUAAGCGAAUAGUGAAACCUGGUGGCUCAACCAUACAGACUAUUAUUCGAACUGGCAAACUCGAGAAUGGUAGAGGUAACUGGAAUUUCUAGUGUAGGAGUGAAAUCCGUAGAUAUUAGAAAGAACACCAAUGGCGUAGGCAGGUUACUGGACCAUUUCUGACGCUAAGGCACGAAAGCGUGGGGAGCGAACCGGAUUAGAUACCCGGGUAGUCCACGCCGUAAACGAUGGAUACUAGCUGUUGGAGGUAUCGACCCCUUCAGUAGCGAAGCUAACGCGUUAAGUAUCCCGCCUGUGGAGUACGGCCGCAAGGCUAAAACAUAAAGGAAUUGACGGGGACCCGCACAAGCGGUGGAUCGUGUUCUUUAAUUCGAUGAUAAACGAAGAACCUUACCAGGGCUUGACAUCCAGGGAAGGUCUGCGAAAGUAGACUGUGCCUUUUGGAACCCUGUGACAGGUGAUGCAUGGCCGUCGUCAGCUCGUGUCGUGAGAUGUUAGGUUAAGUCCUUCAACGAGCGCAACCCUUGUGAAUAGUUGUAUUUUUCUAUUCAGACUGCCCCGGUAACGGGGAGGAAGGAGGGGAUGAUGUCAGGUCAGUAUUUCCCUUACGUCCUGGGCUAGAAACGUAAUACAAUGGCUAGUACAAUGCGCAGCGAAGCCGCGAGGUGAAGCAAAUCGCAUCAAAGCUAGUCCCAGUUCGGAUUGUAGGCUGAAACUCGCCUGCAUGAAGUCGGAAUCGCUAGUAAUCGCAGAUCAGCAUGCUGCGGUGAAUACGUUCCCGGGUCUUGUACACACCGCCCGUCAAACCAUGAAAGUGACCAACACCCGAAGUCCGAUUCGUCGGCCUAAGGUGGGGGGCAUGAUUGGGGUUAAGUCGUAACAAGGUAUCCGUACCGGAAGGUGCGGAUG
rnacentral:rRNA from 1 species